rnacentral:rRNA from 1 species
UGGGGAAUUUUGGACAAUGGGGGAAACCCUGAUCCAGCCAUCCCGCGUGUGCGAUGAAGGCCUUCGGGUUGUAAAGCACUUUUGGCAGGAAAGAAACGUCGCGGGUUAAUACCCCCGCGAAACUGACGGUACCUGCAGAAUAAGCACCGGCUAACUACGUGCCAGCAGCCGCGGUAAUACGUAGGGUGCAAGCGUUAAUCGGAAUUACUGGGCGUAAAGCGUGCGCAGGCGGUUCGGAAAGAAAGAUGUGAAAUCCCAGAGCUUAACUUUGGAACUGCAUUUUUAACUACCGGGCUAGAGUGUGUCAGAGGGAGGUGGAAUUCCGCGUGUAGCAGUGAAAUGCGUAGAUAUGCGGAGGAACACCGAUGGCGAAGGCAGCCUCCUGGGAUAACACUGACGCUCAUGCACG